rnacentral:tRNA from 1 species
GCGUUCGCCUCCGUUUGUCAUGCAGGCCGCCCUCCGAAGGCAGAGGUCACAGGUUCGAAUCCUGUCGGGUGCGCCA